rnacentral:tRNA from 1 species
GCCUCUGUGGCGCAAUUGGCUAGCGCAUGCGACUUGUUAGUGCCCGAAACAACCCGAUUAUAUUAUCCACAAAUGCUAAUCCAUCUCACAGCUAUGAAACAUCGUUUGAAAUCGCAAGGUUGCGGGUUCGACCCCCGCCAGAGGUU